rnacentral:rRNA from 1 species
CAGGGAAUUUUGCGCAAUGGGCGAAAGCCUGACGCAGCGACGCCGCGUGGGGGAAGAAGGCCCUCGGGUUGUAAACCCCUUUUCUGGGGGAAGAGCAAGGACGGUACCCCAGGAAUAAGCCCCGGCUAACUACGUGCCAGCAGCCGCGGUAAUACGUAGGGGGCGAGCGUUGUCCGGAAUUACUGGGCGUAAAGGGCGCGUAGGCGGCCCAGGAAGUCUCCGGUGAAAUCUCCCGGCUUAACUGGGAGCGGUCCGGGGAAACUCUUGGGCUUGAGGACAGCAGAGGAGGGUGGAAUUCCCGGUGUAGUGGUGAAAUGCGUAGAUAUCGGGAGGAACACCAGUGGCGAAGGCGGCCCUCUGGGCUGUACCUGACGCUGAGGCGCGAAAGCGUGGGGAGCGAACCGGAUUAGAUACCCCCGUAGUCC